rnacentral:misc_RNA from 1 species
UUUCUGUCUCUCCUCUUGGACCGUCACCACCGCCACACAUCUGUUUUUUUUUUUCUUUGGUGUUCCCCCUCUCCUCUUUGUUUUUAGUGCGCAGAGAAAGGAGAGAAAUACAUCACACACAAACGCGAAAACAAGCGAAGCCAUUUUUCGGCACACACACGCACACGCGCGCGCACACACACACACAGACAAAGGGAAAGCAAGCAAGCAAAACGAAAGGAGAGCAGGAGUUUUGAGGUGAAACAAGAGCGACAGCCAAACGGAGAGGCAAAACACACACACACACACACACACAGCAAGCAUCAGCGAGAGAGCUGAAGAGGGGAAACGAAGAGCAGAAACGGAGAAUCUCGAAGUCGAAGGUGUUGCAUCUUUUCCCCCUCCUCUCUACCAUUUUCUGCCUUUUGGUUGCUUCGCUAUCUUCUUUCUCUUUCAUCCUCACUCUUACAGCUCUCUCUGAUCGGGUAUCCUUCGCACACCUUCGUGUCUAUUCUCUUCUGCCUCUCUCGUCGUGAUCCACUUCUGUUAUCUCUCGUUUUCUUCGCUUUCUACUGCAUUUUUCACCACCAAGUCUUCUUCUGCCGGAUCUCGGCGAAGGCACUCGAAGAGCUUCCUCCCUUUUCUCUCUUUUCAAGCAGAGCGUACUGACGCAAAGAGCGAAACCUCAACCGAACGGUAAUCCACCACCAGGCGUGAAGAUAGAGGAGGUGUAGUGGGUCUUGGACUUUUUUCCUUUACUCCUCUCUCCCUGUUCUCUGCUUUCGCAUUCCCCAUUGGCUCUCACCAAUCAUCACCUCCCCCCCUCCCAUCAGUCCCACCACCACAGCUCUUUCCCUCCUCUUUCGUCUCUACCUUUUUUUUUGGUUGUGCAGUUUGGGGUUUACUUCCCUCGUCCCUUGUGUGUGUGUGUGCUUUCUUUUGAGUGUUUUGUCUCGCUUCCUGUGAGUGACCAAGAUCGGCGCACCUCCAUCCUAGGGCUGCUGUGGCUCUUUGCUUUAUACAUUGGUAUUCCCUGGCUCUCCCUGGUGGUGUUGUCAUACACAUCGGUCAGCCAGCCGCCGCACGUUUUUUGUUCUUCCCCCCCUCACGCAAGUGGCUCUUCUCACGAACCCUUGCCUUGGGGCUCGCUCAUCCGCGUUUCGCUUCCUCUGGCGUGCUGCAGGACAGAAGGACGCUUUAUUUUCGGCCCUCUUCACCCGGUCUUCGCACGCGACAUGUUAACAGAAAUAUUGGACAUUGACGAGCACCUCGCCACCCUCAACCGGUGCGAAAACAUCGGCGAGGCGGAUGUGAAGCGGCUGUGCUUGAAGGCGAAGGAGAUUUUCACGAGUGAGGAGAACGUGCACAAGAUCCCGGCUCCGUGCACCAUCGUGGGCGACAUCCAUGGCCAAUUCUACGACCUCCUGGAGCUCUUCCGCGUCGGUGGCGAAAUCCCGGACACAAACUACGUCUUCAUGGGCGAUUUCGUAGACCGAGGCUACCACAGCGUAGAGUCGUUCCUGUUACUACUUGUACUCAAGAUCAAGUACUCUCGUCGCGUUGCGCUGGUUCGCGGAAAUCACGAGUCGCGCCAAAUUACACAGGUAUACGGCUUCUACGAUGAGUGCUUGCGCAAGUACGGCAGCAUCAACGUGUGGCGCUACUGCACUGACGUGUUCGAUCUCUUGCCCCUAGCGAGCGUCGUGGAAGGGAAGAUCUUCUGCGUGCACGCUGGUCUGUCGCCAUCGAUACAGACGGUGGACCAGAUGCGUUCCAUCCGCCGUAACUGCGAGGUACCGCACGAGGGCGCCAUGUGCGACUUGCUCUGGUCCGAUCCGGAGGACAUUGACGGCUGGGGCCUGUCGCCGCGCGGCGCCGGCUACCUGUUCGGCGGUGAUGUCGUGUGCCAGUUCAACGAGACAAACAAGCUAGACCUCAUCUGUCGCUCCCAUCAGCUGGUGAUGGAGGGAUACAAGGCUAUGUUCAAUGACACGCUUGUGACGGUCUGGUCGGCGCCCAACUAUUGUUACCGCUGUGGUAACGUUGCGUCUAUUCUGGAGCUGGACGAGCACCUGAACAAGAACUUCAAGAUUUUUGAGGCUGCGCCGGCAGAGGCGCGCGAGGCUGGUCAGCGGAACGAGGUACCAGCCUACUUCCUAUAGUGCUUCCCACGUCUCGUUGCUACUCCCUCUCUCUCCCCUUCUUGUGAUCGCCUCCAUCUCAUGUGAGGUUUUGCAGUCAUUUCGGCCGCUGCUUCGCUUCCUGCUCUCUUUUUACUUCGCCCAUCGAUCGCCUCGCCGAAAGAGGAGAGUGUGUGAUAGGGACGGGAAAGGAGGAGUGUGUGUGGGGAUGGGGGUGGGGGAGCAAAGUGAUGGAGAGGCAUGUAGCCUAUCGUGCCAUGGGGGAGACGCAGACAGCACCGUGCCUGUCGCCUCUGCGUUCAUGCAGCGGAAGAAAGACCCUGCCUCUCAUCACGGAUGGCACGCCACCCCUGAUAGAUGCGUGUGUGUGGGGGAGCGAGUGUGAUGCGGUGCCUGUGUGUGUGUUUCACAACUUGUCGAUCUCCUCCCGUUUUCCUCAUUUUUUUCGUUACCCUUUUUUGCGUUGCUCUUCUUUUUUUCCCAGUGCCUAUUCGUGCAUGACUUGGUUCUCUCUCUCUCUGUGGCGGAAGACGUGCCUGCGCGUUUCUCUAUCUAACUGUCUGUGGCGGCGUGCCUCCUGAGAUGUUUGUAUCUGUGUGUGUAUGCGAGUGUGUGCAUAAUGCGUGCAUGCUGUUGUUUUCCCUUUUCGUUUUUGUGUGGAGGAGAUGAUGGCACGAAGAAAGAGGGAGCAGAGCCACAGCAGUGCCACCCAGGGUGGCGCGAGAGAGCAAAGCUGUCGGAGGGGGCUCCAGGUGAGGGCUGGGGCUGGGGGCAGGUCUCUAAAGCAAAGGCAAAGGAGUCGAGCUCACAUGAAUGUAGUAGGUCUUCUCCAUCAUACACCAUCUCCCGCUCGACCUUGUGCCGCCUUCCUCUUUCCUGGUCUCCUCGCUUUCCGCGCCUGUGCGCGCCUCUGGGAACUCUCUCGUUUUCUCUGUCGUUCUCUCUUCUGCCACUGAUUCUCCUCUGUGACUGCCGUGCUUCUGUCGUUGAGGCCUCCUGCGUCCGUACAUGCUUGUGUGCCCCCAUAUGGUUUGCUGUGCGUUUGUGUGCAUUUCUGAGCGAAUAUCACCUCUUCAGUGGGCACUGCCCCCUUCUACUGUUCGUUUUGUGUAUAUGUGUCCAGUGGGGUCAAAGAGGAGAGGGGGCGAAGAGAGGGGUGCAACGAGAGAAAGAUGGAGAGAGCCUGCCAUGACAGCGACGGACACACACGAAUCUACAAGAAGCAGAACGAGGAAGGCUGAUGCUACGGCUCGGAGAGUCUAUCUCUACUCUCCUUUUACAUCUACACCUCUUUACACUGAUCUCCGCUGCUCAGCCCGCAUGCAUGCGUAUGUUUCCGGCUUGUGUCCGAGGUGCCUCAAACCCUGCACUUUCUGCAGAGCAUACCCCCGCUGCUUGUCAACAAAAAGGAAGGAUGGGUGGCUGCUCGUGUGGGCUCUACCUCUUUCUUCUCUCGCUUCUCUUGUGUGCCCUUUUCUAUCCCUGGCCAUCAAUCAAUGUCCGUCAGCUUAAUGACCAAUGUACAUUGGAAUAACGAAAGAAAAAAAAACAAAUGUUACAAGCGGCGGCGGCAGAGGGGUA